GAUGAAGAACGUAGCGAAAUGCGAUAAGUAAUGUGAAUUGCAGAAUUCAGUGAAUCAUCGAAUCUUUGAACGCACAUUGCGCCCGCCAGUAUUCUGGCGGGUAUGCCUGUUCGAGCGUCAUUUCAACCAUCAAGCCCCCGGCUUGUGUUGGGGACCUGCGGCUGCCGCAGGCCCUGAAAACCAGUGGCGGGCUCGCUAGUCACUCCGAGCGUAGUAAUACAUCUCGCUCAGGGCGUGCUGCGGGUUCCGGCCGUUAAAAGCCUUAUUUACCCAAGGUUGACCUCGGAUCAGGUAGGAAGACCCGCUGAACUUAAGCAUAUCAAUAAGCGGAGGA
rnacentral:misc_RNA from 1 species